GGUCCUUUUACCACCACACCCAGAAAAGUGAAAUUGAUUAUGGAAAUAGGGGCAUUCCAUAAUGUCACUCAGAUACAUCUUACAACUUAGGAAGUUCCUUGUCAGUUUUUAUCAUGAGGAGACUUCUCCAGCAGCUCGGUGAAGAUGGACUGGAGCUUCUCCUUCCAAAUUUAGGAUAUCUUUCUCAACAAGAGCAGAAUAUACGGAAGCAUUAUAACUGAAGUUAUGCCAAUUGUCUUUUAUUUACUUGAUUAUGUAAAGGAGGCAAUGCUAAGUAUGAUACGGGUUGUGGUCUAUUACAUCAAAAACUUCUCUUUUUCC